AACUGCGAGUGAAGCGGGAAAAGCUCAAAUUUAAAAUCUGGCGGYCCUUGGCCGUCCGAGUUGUAAUUUAGAGAAGCGUCUUCCGCGCUGGACCGUGCACAAGUCUCCUGGAAUGGAGCGUCAUAGAGGGUGAGAAUCCCGUCUUUGGCACGGAUGCCUGGUGCUUCUGCGAUGCGCUCUCGAAGAGUCGAGUUGUUUGGGAAUGCAGCUCAAAAUGGGUGGUGAACUCCAUCUAAAGCUAAAUAUUGGCGAGAGACCGAUAGCGAACAAGUACCGUGAGGGAAAGAUGAAAAGCACUUUGGAAAGAGAGUGAAACAGUACGUGAAAUUGUUGAAAGGGAAACGCUUGAAGUCAGUCGCGUCGACCGAGACUCAGCCUUGCCUUGGCUUGGUGUACUUCUCGGCCCGACGGGUCAGCGUCAAUUUUGCCCCUCGGAUAAUGGCAAGGGAAAGGUGGCACCUUUACGGGUGUGUUAUAGUCUCCUGUCGCAUGCGAGGGGUGGGAUUGAGGAACUCAGCGUGCACCUUGGUGUCGGGGCUUCG
rnacentral:rRNA from 1 species